GACGAACGCUGGCGGCGUGCUUAACACAUGCAAGUCGAACGAUGAACCCGGAUCUUGCUCUGGGGGAUUAGUGGCGAACGGGUGAGUAACACGUGAGUAACCUGCCCUGGACUCUGGGAUAAGCGUUGGAAACGACGUCUAAUACCGGAUAGGACCUUGGAUCGCAUGAUCUGGGGUGGAAAGUUUUUUCGGUCUGGGAUGGACUCGCGGCCUAUCAGCUUGUUGGUGAGGUAAUGGCUCACCAAGGCGUGGACGGGUAGCCGGCCUGAGUGGGUGACCGGCCACACUGGGACUGAGACACGGCGCAGACAGCGACGGAAGGCAGCAGUGGGGAAUAUUGCACAAUGAGCGAAAGCCUGAGGCAGCAACGCCGCGUGCGGGAGGACGGCCUUCGGGUUGGAAACCACUUUUAGUAGGCAAGAAGGGCUUCGGCUUGACGGUACCUGCAGAAAAAGGACCGGCUAACUACGUG
rnacentral:rRNA from 1 species